rnacentral:rRNA from 1 species
CCUACGGGAGGCAGCAGUGAGGAAUAUUGGUCAAUGGGCGGAAGCCUGAACCAGCCAAGUAGCGUGCAGGAUGACGGCCCUACGGGUUGUAAACUGCUUUUAUACGGGAAUAACGCGCCUUACGUGUAGGUCUUUGCAUGUACCGUAUGAAUAAGGACCGGCUAAUUCCGUGCCAGCAGCCGCGGUAAUACGGAAGGUCCGGGCGUUAUCCGGAUUUAUUUGGUUUAAAGGGAGCGUAGGCCGCAUGUCAAGCGUGAUGUGAAAUGUCCGGGCUCAACCCGGGCCGGUCAGGGCGAACUGGCGUGCUUGAGUCCGCGGAAAGCAGGCGGAAUUCGUCGUGUAGCGGUGAAAUGCUUAGAUAUGACGAAGAACCCCGAUUGCGAAGGCAGCUUGCUGCAGCGGAACUGACGCUGAUGCUCGAAAGCGCGGGUAUCGAACAGGAUUAGAUACCCCUGUAGUC